AUUGAACGCUGGCGGCAUGCCUUACACAUGCAAGUCGAACGGCAGCGGGGACUUCGGUCCGCCGGCGAGUGGCGAACGGGUGAGUAAUGUAUCGGAACGUACCAUUCAGUGGGGGAUAACUAUCCGAAAGGAUAGCUAAUACCGCAUAUUCUGUGAGCAGGAAAGCAGGGGAUCGCAAGACCUUGCGCUGAUUGAGCGGCCGAUAUCAGAUUAGCUAGUUGGUGGGGUAACGGCUCACCAAGGCUACGAUCUGUAACGGGUCGGAGAGGAUGGUCCGCAACACUGGGACUGAGACACGGCCCAGACUCCUACGGGAGGCAGCAGUGGGGAAUUUUGGACAAUGGGCGCAAGCCUGAUCCAGCCAUGCCGCGUGAGUGAAGAAGGCCUUCGGGUUGUAAAGCUCUUUCGGCCGGGAAGAAAUCGCAUCAGCUAAUACCUGGUGUGGAUGACGGUACCGGAAUAAGAAGCACCGGCUAACUACGUGCCAGCAGCCGCGGUAA
rnacentral:rRNA from 1 species